GAUAAACGUUGGCGGCGUGCCUAAUGCAUGCAAGUCGCACGAUAAGCCAGCUUCGGCUGGUGGACAGUGGCGGACGGGUGAGUAACACGUAGGAACCUGCCCGGAAGUGGGGGGCAACUC
rnacentral:rRNA from 1 species